GACGAACGCUGGCGGCGUGCUUAACACAUGCAAGUCGAACGGAGUGGCGAACGGGUGAGUAUUACGUGAGUAACCUGCCCUCAACUGUGGGAUAAGCCUGGGAAACUGGGUCUAAUACUGCAUAGUUGGGGAUGGGCUCGCGGCCUAUCAGCUUGUGGGGGGGGUGAUGGCCUACCAAGGCGGUGACGGGUGGCCGGCCUGCGAGGGUGGUCGGCCACAAUGGGACUGAGAUACGGCCCAGACGCCGACGGGAGGCAGCAGUGGGAGAUAUUGCACAGUGGGAGCAAGCCUAAUGCAGGGAGGCCGCGUGAGGGAUGAAGUCUUGCUGGUUGUAACCCUCUAUCUGUGCAGAACGGGUAUUUGCAGAAGAAGCGCCGGCUAACUACGUGCCAGCAGCCGCGGUAAUAC
rnacentral:rRNA from 1 species